rnacentral:rRNA from 1 species
GAUGAACGCUAGCGAUAGGCUUAACACAUGCAAGUCGAGGGGCAGCAUGGUCUUAGCUUGCUAAGACUGAUGGCGACCGGCGCACGGGUGCGUAACGCGUAUGCAACUUGCCUCACAGAGGGGGAUAACCCGUCGAAAGACGGACUAAUACCGCGUACACUCUAUUUUGGGCAUCCAAGGUAGAGGAAAUGAAAUUCGCUGUGAGAUAGGCAUGCGUCCCAUUAGCUAGUUGGUGAGGUAACGGCUCACCAAGUGGACGAUGGGUAGGGGAACUGAGAGGUUGAACCCCCACACUGGUACUGAGACACGGACCAGACUCCUACGGGAGGAAGCAGUGAGGAAUAUUGGUCAAUGGGCGAGGGCCUGAACCAGCCAAGUCGCGUGAAGGAUGACUGUCUUAUGGAUUGUAAACUUCUUUUGUAGGGGAAUAAAGAGGGGCACGUGUGCCCCAGUGAAUGUACCCUACGAAUAAGCAUCGGCUAACUCCGUG